GGGGGAUAUUGCGCAAUGGGGGCAACCCUGACGCAGCAACGCCGCGUGAAGGAUGAAGGUUUUCGGAUUGUAAACUUCUUUUAUUAAGGACGAAAAAUGACGGUACUUAAUGAAUAAGCUCCGGCUAACUACGUGCCAGCAGCCGCGGUAAUACGUAGGGAGCAAGCGUUGUCCGGAUUUACUGGGUGUAAAGGGUGCGUAGGCGGCUUUGCAAGUCAGAUGUGAAAUCUAUGGGCUCAACCCAUAAACUGCAUUUGAAACUGUAGAGCUUGAGUGAAGUAGAGGCAGGCGGAAUUCCCCGUGUAGCGGUGAAAUGCGUAGAGAUGGGGAGGAACACCAGUGGCGAAGGCGGCCUGCUGGGCUUUAACUGACGCUGAGGCACGAAAGCGUGGGUAGCAAACAGGAUUAGAUACCCUGGUAGUCCACGCUGUAAACGAUGAUUACUAGGUGUGGGGGGUUUGACCCCUUCCGUGCCGGAGUUAACACAAUAAGUAAUCCACCUGGGGAGUACGGCCGCAAGGUUGAAACUCAAAGGAAUUGACGGGGGCCCGCACAAGCAGUGGAGUAUGUGGUUUAAUUCGAAGCAACGCGAAGAACCUUACCAGGUCUUGACAUCCAACUAACGAAGUAGAGAUACAUUAGGUGCCCUUCGGGGAAAGUUGAGACAGGUGGUGCAUGGUUGUCGUCAGCUCGUGUCGUGAGAUGUUGGGUUAAGUCCCGCAACGAGCGCAACCCUUGCUAUUAGUUGCUACGCAAGAGCACUCUAAUAGGACUGCCGUUGACAAAACGGAGGAAGGUGGGGACGACGUCAAAUCAUCAUGCCCCUUAUGACCUGGGCUACACACGUACUACAAUGGAUGUUAACAGAGGGAAGCAAGACAGCGAUGUGGAGCAAACCCCUAAAAACAUUCUCAGUUCAGAUUGCAGGCUGCAACCCGCCUGCAUGAAGAUGGAAUUGCUAGUAAUCGCGGAUCAGCAUGCCGCGGUGAAUACGUUCCCG
rnacentral:rRNA from 1 species